rnacentral:rRNA from 1 species
AUUGAACGCUGGCGGCAGGCCUAACACAUGCAAGUCGAGCGGAUGAAGGGAGCUUUCUCCUGGAUUCAGCGGCGGACGGGUGAGUAAUGCCUAGGAAUCUGCCUGCUAGUGGGGGAUAACGUCCUGAAACGGGCGCUGAUACCGCAUACGUCCUGAGGGUGCUGGUGGGGGGGCUUCGGACCUCACGCUAUCAGAUGAGCCUAGGUCGGAUUAGAUAGUUGGUGGGGUAAAGGCUUACCAAGCCGACGAUCCGUAACUGGUCUGAGAGAAUGAUCAGUCACCUUAGAGCUGGGACACGGUCCAGACGCCUACGGGAGGGAGCAGUCGGCAAUAUUGGACAAUGGGCGAAAGCCUGAUCCAGCCAGGCCACGUCUGUGAAAGAAAUCUUCGGAGUGUGAAGCCCGUCAAGUGGUGGGGAAGGGCAGUAAGUUGAGACCUAGCUGGAGUGACGUUACCAACAGAAGAAGCACCGGCUAACUACGUG